GCCUGGCUAGCUCAGUUGGAAGAGCAUGGGACUCUUAAUCCCAGUGGUCGUGAGUACAAGCCACACGUUGGGUU
rnacentral:tRNA from 1 species